rnacentral:rRNA from 1 species
UACGAGUGCCCCAAGCGUUAUCCGGAAUCAUUGGGCGUAAAGGGUGUGUAGGUGGCGUUGUUAGUCUUCUGUUAAAAUUUCGGGCUUAACCCGAAACUUGCAGUGGAAACGGCAAUGCUUGAGGGUGCGAGGGGUGAAUGGAACUCAUGGAGUAGGGGUGAAAUCCGUUGAUAUCAUGGGGAACACCAAAAGCGAAGGCAAUUCACUGGCGCAUUCCUGACACUGAAACACGAAAGCGUGGGUAGCGAACGGG